UACAGAGGGUGCAAACGUUGCUCGGAAUUAUUGGGCGUAAAGCGCGUGUAGGCGGCUUGUUAAGUUGGUUGUGAAAACCCAUGGCUCAACCAUGGAAGGGCGUCCAAAACUGGCAAGCUAGAGUCCCGACGAGGAUGGCAGAAUUCCCAGUGUAGAGGUGAAAUUCGUAGAUAUUGGGAGGAACACCGGUGGCGAAGGCGGCCAUCUGGGAGGGCACUGACGCUGAGACGCGAAAGCGUGGGGAGCAAACAGG
rnacentral:rRNA from 1 species